UAGAUUCUCUCUAUACAUUCUUCAUGAUUUUUCGGUUUACUCUCAAUAUUUACAUGGUAUCAGAGCCAGGCCCAUCCCAAUUAUUGUUACCGAUGUUGGGCACCCAUUUAUGUUAUCCACGCUCCAGAGAUCUGGGCGUGAUGGGGGGUGUUGAGUUGUCCCACAUCGGAGGGAUUUGAGGUCCUUGGUCUCCUUAUAUGGCUUGGGCAAUCCUCACCACAUAAGCUAGCUUUUGAGGUUGAGUUAGGCCCAAGGUCCAUUCUUAUCAUGGUAUCAGAGCCUAAACGACGAUCCGACUAUGUUUAUCUGUAUCUCGUUGUCUUGGUUGAAGUCUCUUUUGAGAUUUUUGAGGGUGUUUCUGAGACCUUGUGGUCGAUGAUGAUUCCGAUCUAAAUCGGACGCCUUUCUGAGUUUUUCAUCGUGAUAUCUUAGUGUAUUUUCUUCACUCGAACAUUCUGGGAGUUCUGAGACCUCGUGGUCGAUGAUGAUUCCGAUCUAAAUCGGACGCCUUUUUGAGUUUUUCAUCGUGAUAUCUGAGUGUAUUUUCUUCACUCGAACGUUCUGGGAGAUUUUCUGAUGAUUUUUUGGUAAUUUUUGGGUGACCUAUCGGCUUCUAGGGUUUCUGGUGGUUUAACAUAGAGUUUUACUGCUAUCCGGUGGCUCGAUUCUCACUCAGUGGAUGUUUUGGGUGACUUUUCGACAUCCCUGACCAUACUUACAGUAAGGCUUUCGACGGUUGCACCUAGGGUUUUGUACCUAGGGUUUUCUCUGUUUGAUUGAAGGCCGAUCUUCUCCGGUCGCGAAGAAGGAGGGUAACUCUUUCCUUAUCUUGAGUAUUGUAUGCUUUGUGUGUGAUUAUCUGGCUCCGUAUGUGAGUAUCUGGUUUUUGUGUGUGAAUAUGUGGUUUUGUGUGUGAAUAUCUGGUUUGGUUAUGGCUUCUAAUACGAGUGCUGGUACCUCCGCCUCAAUAGACUCUACCAGUCCCCUUUCUGUAUAUUCCUCUGAUGUCCCUGGGGUCUCUCUUCCCUUCUCG
rnacentral:lncRNA from 1 species